UACGAAGGGUGCAAGCGUUACUCGGAAUUACUGGGCGUAAAGCGUGCGUAGGCGGUUUGUUAAGUCCGCUGUGAAAGCCCUGGGCUCAACCUGGGAAUUGCAGUGGAUACUGGCAGCUAGAGUGCGGUAGAGGAUGGUGGAAUUCCCGGUGUAGCGGUGAAAUGCGUAGAGAUCGGGAGGAACACCCGUGCGAAGGCGGCCAUCUGGACCAGCACUGAACGCUGACGGCACGGAAAGCGUGGGGAGCAACAGGAUUAAGAUACCCUGAGUCCAGUACCAAGUCUCUCGCGUAACCCUGAUCGA
rnacentral:rRNA from 1 species